rnacentral:rRNA from 1 species
GACGAACGCUGGCGGUGUGCUUCACACAUGCAUGUCGAACGAGGUAGCAAUACCUAGUGGCGGACGGGGUGAGUAACGCGUGGGAAUCUGCCUUUAGAUGGGGGAUAACGAGCCGAAAGGUUCGCUAAUACCGCAUAUGCCGCAAGGUGAAAGGAGUAAUCCGUCUGAAGAUGAGCCCGCGUCCGAUUAGCUAGUUGGUGGGGUAAAGGCCUACCAAGGCGACGAUCGGUAGCUGGUCUGAGAGGAUGAUCAGCCACAAUAGGGACUGAGACACGGCCCGAUACUCCUACGGGAGGCAGCAGUGGGGAAUUUUACGCAAUGGGGGAAACCCUGACGUAGCGACACCGCGUGAGCGAAGAAGCCCUUGGGGUGUAAAGCUCUGUCAGCUGGAACGAAACAAAUAGACGGUACCAGCAGAGGAAGCAUCGGCUAACUACGUGCCAGCAGCCGCGG